rnacentral:sRNA from 1 species
CCGGGAAGGAGAGCUCUCUGGGGGGGUCUUUAGGCCCAGGGGUGGCUCACUGCGUUCCCUCCCCAAGCCUGCCGCACCAACCCGUGCCUCCAUGGGGGUCGCUGCCUAGAGGUGGAGGGCCACCGCCUGUGCCACUGCCCGGUGGGCUACACCGGACGCUUCUGCGACGUGGGAACCCGGACAACGACAUCCGCCCGUGGUGCUUCGUGCUGAACCGCGACCGGCUGAGCUGGGAGUACUGCGACCUGGCACAGUGCCAGACCCCAACCCAGGCGGCGCCUCCGACCCCGGUGUCCCCUAGGCUUCAUGUCCCACUCAUGCCCGCGCAGCCGGCACCGCUGAAGCCUCAGCCCGCGACCCGGACCCCGCCUCAGUCCCAGACCCCGGGAGCCUUGCCGGCGAAGCGGGAGCAGCCGCCUUCCCUGACCAGGAACGGCCCACUGAGCUGCGGGCAGCGGCUCCGCAAGAGUCUGUCUUCGAUGACCCGCGUCGUUGGCGGGCUGGUGGCGCUACGCGGGGCGCACCCCUACAUCGCCGCGCUGUACUGGGGCCACAGUUUCUGCGCCGGCAGCCUCAUCGCCCCCUGCUGGGUGCUGACGGCCGCUCACUGCCUGCAGGACCGACCCGCACCCGAGGAUCUGACGGUGGUGCUCGGCCAGGAACGCCAUAACCACAGCUGUGAGCAGUGCCAGACGUUGGCCGUGCGCUCCUACCGCUUGCACGAGGCCUUCUCGCCCGUCAGCUACCA